UCUGGGGGGAGAGGGGCCACAAUUCUACCCACUACAGAGGUUGUUUUCUUUUUUUUUGAAGUUUAUGUAUUGACUUUGAGAGAGACAAAGAGAGCGUGAGCAGGGGAGGUGCAGAGAGAGAAGGAGAGAGAGAGAGAAUCCCAAGCAGGCUCCAUGAGGGAGGAGACCCUUCUCCAUCACACUGGUUCCCACCAUCUAGAGGAGACAUGCUGGGCAGAUUCACGGCCAGUCCUCACAGCGGUGGAGAGAUACAGACAAAUUCCACACAUGACCGUGGCCUUUGUGACACGUGGACAGAUCUGGUCCUCCCUGCUGCCCUGAAGACACCGCACUCUCCCCAGCGAGGCUGCCUGAGCUCGGUGAGAAAUGGUCCCGAGGAAUCAGGAGGCUGUGGGUAUUUCCUACCGCUGGCUGCCCGUGAUUCGGACGCACCGUGCAACGGACAGGGACGGUAAUGAAAAAGAAGAAACACAAAUGAAGUGAAUGGCCGGUCGCCUCAGGCAAAUGUCCCCUGCAGUUGCUGGUACUGUGAAAAAUUAAAAAAGUCAGCAAUCAAAACUCCUCUUCCCAGAGACUCUUCCCACCAGGGCCACCGGGCCCUCCAUGCUGAGGCUUUGAAAUGAGGGACACAGUGGGACGGGCUGGCUCCUGUUCCGGCCUGGCGACAGCUUGCUCUCCGUCCCAGCUGCAGGGCUU